ensembl:lncRNA
AGAGGGGGAAGAGAGAGAAGAGAGAGAGAGGGAGUGAAACAGAGAAAGAGAAGAGAGAGAGAGGGGGUGAAACAGAGAGAGAAGAGAGAGAGGGAGGGAAAGAGAGAGAAGAGAGAGAAGAGGGAGGGAGUGAAACAGAGAAAGAGAAGAGAGAGAAGAGAGAGAAGAGGGAGGGAGUGAAACAGAGAGAGAAGAGAGAGAAGAGAGAGAGAGGGAGUGAAACAGAGAAAGAGAAGAGAGAGAAGAGAGAGAAGAGAGAGAGAGGGAGAGAAACAGAGAAAGAAGAGAGAGAAGAGAGAGAAGAGGGAGUGAAACAGAGAAAGAGAAGAGAGAAGAGGGA